ensembl:lncRNA
GAUGAAACAAGGGUAGAGAGGGAAACAGGAACAGAAAGUGACGAUGUCAGAGUGAGGGGGACCAGAACAGAGCUGAAGCCAGAUGCCAAAACAGAAACAACAGAAGUUUGAGCAGCUAACUGGAUUAGACAAGACGCGAGACCUGACCUGCUACUUCACAAGUGCCUGCGGGGUAAGGUUCUGCUUUCAACGAGAUCUUAACUGCCACUGAAUACUUUGAUACAGCUGUGGCUUAAGUUGGUAGUGUGGUGAUAUUUCUUGUUGUUUGAUUAAAGGAGAACUCAGGUAAAAUUGCUGCUUUUCGGACAAUCUUCAUUAAAACAUUUUUUAAAAAAGCCUAAUUUUGGCUGGGGUUAGAUUUCAGCCAAAAGCGUCUGUAAUACGUGUCUGUAAUCUCGUCCCCUUAAAACAAACCAUCUCACUCAAACGUCUGCUUCUAAGAACUUUCACUUUGUCCCUCACUUUAGUUUUAAAGGGCUGACUAACUUACUGAUGAUGUUUAUUAGCUUCAUCUGGCUGCUCCCUCCCUUUUCUUACUGUCAGUGUGACCUCCACUUUGCUCAUUUCAUUCCAGUUAGGACUGAGCUGACACGUCUGACAUGUAAUGGGCUUGUGCACUUGCUUUUGUUUACUGAGAAACAUAUCAGCGGGCCUGUUGCUACGACAGCAAAACAGCUGCACUUCGAGAUCAAACACAGAUCAUAUUUUCUGCAGGAAAAAAACAUAUCUAGAGGUUUAGCUGUUUACCGGUUCUUGACUCAGGUCAAAACAAACACGUCCAAGUGCUCUGAAUUAAUGCUGACUGAUGAGCGAACUGCUCUGACUCGGUGCUCGGGGCAAGUCAUUAAAGAUUCCUGCCUUGCCUUCUGUCGCAACUUUGUGUUUUAGGUCACGCGUGUUCCUUAAAAAAGUAGCAGGGGCUAACUGUGUGCAAUCAUAACAUUUUUUCUCAGCCCCUUCCUGGCUUUGUGUGGCCCAGAAAUGGCUUUUUCCUACAAAGUCAUGAGAAAGUGAAACAGCCGGUGAGAGUCUCUGAAAGAAUGUUGACAUGAGUGAGACUCAUUUUUAUUUAUUUUUAGUGAAAAUAUAGCUACAAUCUUUAAAAUAGCCAUUAAGUUAGGAACAAGUACCGGCUCACAUGGAUGUUGCCAACAUUGUGAACAGGGUCAUCUCACAGUACUGCACAGAAACGGCCUGCUGAGUACGAAACAACAGCAGCAAUCAGUUUGUUGUUACCUCUCUUACUGGAUUAAUUCCCUUAGCACAUUGAUGAAAUGACACGUAGAUCAUAACGCAGCAUUGUAUUUCUUCUGCUAGUGUUUCAACUAUAGUUCACCCGUGUAUAAACACAUCUCAAAGUGGGCUCUUUGUUCCUGGCCAGAGGCUAUAAUUAUCAUAGCACUCAGUGACUUGUCCAUUCCAUUUAAUGACUUUCCUACUGAUUCAUUGUGAGUCACUUCUUUUCUACCGGCUAGAUCACACCUCCGUGCUUCACUCCCGAUCUCUGUCCCUCUCCGACAAACUUAUUGCUCAGCGGCUCUGGCUCGCCGCGGUGGCAGAGUUUUCAUAAUGGCGGGAUGAUCAGAGCGUGCACAGAGGUGCUGCAGCUCAGCCAAGCUCAUCACAACAACAUGUACCUGCAGCCAAUAAUCAGGAAAGAUGUAGCAGCGACGCCAUCGCUCUCAGGAAUAUGCACGGUUUUCCAUGUCGCCUGCAGGCAGCCUUUGUUCCGAAUGUGGUGCACAUUUUUGAAAUAAGGCACAUUCCCGUGCGCAGCUUUUAUGUGCUGCUGCUAUAUGGAGAAGAAUAUUUGGUGGAGUUAUUAAACCAUCGCAGCAGAACGAGAUAACGACGCGCGCUGCCCUUGUUUUUCUUCUCAUCAGAGCAGCACUGAGUGGCAUUAAACUCACUGUCAGUCUGUGCUGUUUGCAUUUUACUUCAUUAGUAGACCCAAAUUUUCCGACUUUAGCAAAAUCUAGAUUAGUUUUCUUCUUAAAUUUGCCGGUGACCUCAUUUGCUUCUCUUUUUUUUUUUUUAUGAACACCCAAAACUGCACAAACUAACAUGAAAAGUCUCUAAUAACCCAAAAAGAAAUCAAGCACAGUUUCUCAUGUGGUGGUUUGGAUCACUUCUAUUUUCUGAAAUGGGAUUGCUCUUUCUGAUCUCUCACUUAAACAUUUCAGGUGCUACUUAGCUUUAAGUGCUUAGCUUCCUGUUGAGCAAAUGAACAGGAGGGAAGUUAGCGGGCUGUCUGUGGGUAAACUAAUUUCACACAUGAGGCACAACGCACGGUGGAAGCCGUGCCUAUUUGCUCUCCACUUGCAGGUGCAUCUUCAUCUCUCUUUCUCUGCAUACGAAGCAACCGAAUGUGAGAUGAAAAUCUCUUUCCUUCCUGCGAACAGAAUACAAAGAAGCCCUGUAGCCGAAAGCUACAGAGACUCUGAGGAGCGUACUUGAGUCAAAUGGUGUUUGAAAAACUAUAGUUGUUUAACAGCAUUUAAAUAAAAAUGUUGCCUCAAGGCUUCAGGCUUAAUCAAAUAGCUUUUUAGUCUCAGAGUAAGGAACAAUAUGACUUUUAUUUCCAUGUAGGACUGACAAUUGAAGUUCCUUACAUCAAGGAUUCCUAUUUGGGAGAGCUGUUAUGGGGUGGUUUUAUUUGAGGCCAGCAUAAAAUUGCUAAAUUCAGACAUUUAGGAAUACUUAGGCCACAUUCCAUCCAUCUCUUGCUUUGGGAUCCAUGAGACCUGUAUAUUCAUGAGCCUCCUAUAGCAGAUCUUUCUCUGGCCUACCUCUCUCCCACUUCGCUUCUUUUUUUUCUGACACUGUCACGUUCUCCAUCUCAGCGGGAUUCUUAGGAAGAUUGGUUACCUCUGUCUCGGUCUCGCCUUCCCUCAGACACAAUCUCCCUCCAUUUCUUCCACUCCUUCUUACUCUCUCUCUCUCUUCUCCGCUGUGUUCCUCAGUGGGACUCUUAGAGAGAGAGAGCUGCCCUGAAUCAUGAAUGCCCCUCUGCAAUAUUAAUGAAGGGAAAGCUGAAAAAAAUCCGAAGCUGACAUUGACAAGAUGGGGGGGUGGGGUGCAGGAGUAGAGAUGUUAAAGACAGAGGCAGAAAGAUAGAUUGGGAGGCAGGGAAAGAGUGAGGGAGACCAGUUGUCUGCCUGGACCCAAAUUUUCUGUUCAUGUUAACCUUCUUUUUUUUUUUUUGCAGCUACAUCCACAUUAAGCAACUUCUCUACAGCUUGUCAGACUGAAAGUUAAAGGGGAGGAGGACAAGAGGAAACUCGAGAAAACAAUUACUGGAAUGUCGACCUGGAUAAAGAAACUUCCGCUUUCCUCGAGAUCAGAAUCCUCAUAUUGAAAGCCUCCUCUAACCAAGUGACCUCUUGGUUGUGUGGAUUUGUUUAAAUGGGCCUUGGCCUUCUCCAAAGGAACACUUUAAAGCAGAAAGCAUCUGUGACGUUUGCUUCUGGUGUUUCCAUUUAACACAGAGAGUACAGCCUUCGUUGGAUAGACGAGAGUCUCAGGGAAACUAUUUCAUUUUGGGCAGUUUUUUAACCUUAAUCCAACCACCCAAAGGGCUCAGAGGGACAUUGUAUUUUUAUCAUUUUAGUACCCCAGCAUCCUAACAUGCACAUUUGCUGUCUCACAACUAUUUCAACUCUCUAAAGGAUUUAGCAAAACUUUUCCAACAGUGAGAUAGUCUCAUUUAAAGGGCUUACACGCCGGUAUCCUAAGCCAUGGAUGGGAAAACUGACAGCAUUCAGGAUUUUUUCAACCAACUGUGGCACUUUGCUUCAGAAAAACACAACCAGGGGGCCUAUAACACAGUCUGCCUGGUGGUCCUCCUGACGCUUCCCCUGCUCGUCCUCCUCACAACAGUGGUGGUGUGCUGCCACUGCUGUUGCUGUCGUCAUGCCAACAGCUGCUGUUGUUGCUGCUGCGGCGACGCCGUGUCGUCUUCAAGGUCAGAAACAAAGAAGAAAUAUAAUUCUGCCAAUACCGAAGACUUGUGGAUCUCGGUCAAGCCCGGGCCGAUGACGCCCGACCGGGUCGCUCUGGCCAUGGAGUAAAUAUCCCUUUUUUGACCUGAGAUUGCUGACGAGUUUAUGGAAAGGAGCUGAUGGAGCAUCCCGAAAAGCAUAAACCGUGGAUGCUCUUGGACUCCGUGGAUAUUCAAACAAAAAGGAUGAACUUCACCUAGUAGUGGGCACAGAUGUGUUUGAAAUAUGUAAACAGUGUAUAUAUUGUUGUCACUUUGCAUUCAUAAGAUGUCGUGCGGUGGUUUUAUGACAAUGUUUACAGCAUUUUUAUGAGCAUUUUUUUUAGUGUUUGGUACAUAAAGGAAGAAAUAUGAAGACAGAAGCACAUAUAUAACUGCAAGUGUGUGUGUGUGUGUGUGUGUGUGUGUGUGUGUGUGUGUGUAAGAGAAGCACAGUGUUAUUGAGAGCACUUUGUUCUUAGAGCUCCCAUGUGAAAUUCAGUGCGUGUGUAUUUGGGAGAGAGAGCCAAUUUAGGGUCUGCCCAGUGCUCAGAAAGCUGUAUUACUCACAUUCAGGCUGCAAUGCAGACUGUGAUUGACUCUCAAUUUCUAAAUCAAAAGGCACUGUCAUCUAAAAAGCUGAACUCACUGCCUACAGAACUUUCUUCAUUCCAACAUUUUUUCCCCCAUUUCUUGAAGAUGUUACAGCAUUGUCACAGGAGUGGAACUUCACUUUCAUCGGGUUUUUUUGUGUUUCUCUUUACACUAUUACACUAUUCAGGGCCAAGCAAGCAUUAAAAAAGACCAUUUGUAAAAGAUAAAGUGAGAACCCCCCCAAAGGACAAACAAACAACACUGGAAACUAGAAACUAGAUACUCAUACCAAUGGAGGUGUUAGCAAUAAUGAAUAGCCAUGUAUUUAUGGAAAUUUUGAACAUCUAUUCCUCUAAAACGUAUGAAUACGACUGAAAGAGGUGGCGUAAGUUGGUUUAGAGCAGAUCCAUAUGCACUUUUAUUCUGUUUUGAAGUCAUCACACAGAAAAUUUGGAAGGAGGACCAACAACACACUUAAGCCCCAAUGCCUAACCCCAAAUGCGAUCUCCUGCCUUUUGCCCCUAUAUCUGGGGGCGUUGGGGCUUAAGAGGUUAUACUGGCAUUAAGUUUGUUUGUAAUCACUUUUGGCUAACUUCCUAGCACAGAUGUGGACAAUUUUAGAUUGUCAAAAGUGUGUUUAAUUAAAACAAAUCACUGUCUAAGCAUACAUCUUUGUAUACUUCAUCAUGCUGAGAGCUUCCCCUACACUUGUGAUUGUGCCUUAUAACUGCAAAAUCCAUUUUACGUGCAUUUCUUUAAAAAGUUUGAUGAGUGCUUACAUGGAUACUGCUGGUAAACAUUAUUUGCCAGCAGUAUUUUAUUGCCAUUCUGUUGAGAUACAAACAUAAUGCUGAUUAAUUUGAUCAAGUCCUCACUAUUCACAUGUAUACAACGUUUUUAGAAACGGGUUUGAACAGUAUUCAAAGUAUUUUUUUGUUUUAGCUUAAUUAAAUUCACAUACUUUUCAAAAAUUCCAGUAAAAAGAAACUGAAAUAAUCAAACGAUUUGGGCUUCGAGUGGAUUGUGCCUGAAGGCUCCUUGUUUUGAAAGUGUACGACAUCUCAAGGCCCAAUUAAGCAGAGUCGUCUCAGCAGUAUCAUCAUCUUUAUGCAUUAGCUUAUUUUGGUACUAAGUUGAUCUUCUUGCUCAAGUGCUGCUGGGAAAACCGGCCCCACUCAUUUCAUUACUGCUCAGACAGAUACAUCCCCAUGUGGAAAUUUGGGUUUGUCUCUUCUGCUUUAUGUUCGCAGAGAGAAACUGUACAUGUUGAGCUUAAUUUGAAAGCUUGCCUUGCAAAACACAGGCAACGUAUGAUGACUAAUAAUUGCAAGAGUGAGACAUUUAACAAGAAAACACACUGCCAUGUUCGGGGUUUUUUUGCUGAGCACGUCAUUGUGGUUUGCGUUUGUCAAAGUAAAAUUGACAGGUUUUACUGGUUAUUAAAUGCUGACUGUGGCAGGCUUUUUACAACAUAAAUAAAAAUGUAUAAUGAUGUGAAAGACUGAAAAAAUUAAAGGAAUAGUUUGACAUUUUCAGAGUUAUUCUUACUACUUUUACUUCUCUGUGAGAGUUACGUGAUUCAGCUUCAUGUCUGCAUGCUAAAUAUACACCUGCUGUGGGCAGCGGGUUACCUUUUCUUAUUACAAAGACAAAGAGAAAACAGCUUGUCUGGCUCUGUGCAAAGGUAAGACAGUAAUUACUAAAGUAGUGAUCAGUAAUUGUGAAACAGGAAUUCACAGGUUGCUUGGUUUUUUAUGUGGUAACCUAUUCUCAUCGACCAGAAGAGACUUUUAGAGGCACAAGGUGUUUUUUAUGCAAUUUGGUAAACAGUUGAGUAGUUACUUCCUGCUUUCUGUCAUUUGCUAAACUCUCCUAGUACUUUAAACUGAAAGGAUAUUAAAGGUUAAUCCAAGGAUAUCCCCUUAAAUACCAGAAUAUGAGUCACACAUAACACCAUAAACAAAUAUAAGCACUGAUUCUAGAGACUGGAAUUGGGGUGAAAAUGUAAACUGUAUGUCCAACAUGGAUGCUACUGUGAUGCUACCUGUUGGUGUGAGGACUUCCAGAGUUCUCAAUAUGCUCAGUUAAUGAAGGAGUUAAUGAAGCUGUAGCUGUCUCGUGAGGUGGUAUGAGUCAAUGACCACUCCGGAUAUUAUUAUUUCACUGCAAACUUUAAUCAGUCCAAGCACACAAUACACAUAAUGGUCAAUCCUGCCAUGUACUGUUCCAAAUGGAUUAGCCCACACAGGGGUGGCUCAUAACCAGUGUUGGUCAAGUUACUUGAAAAAUGU